GACCUAACACAUUACACACACACAAAAGCUCCAAGUCACCUAACACACACACAAAAUCCCUAAUCUGGUAAUCCCUCCAAGUCUCCAACAAAAUCCCUAAUCCGCUCGGUUCGAGACCACACAACUCAUUUAAGUGAACAAAAUUUGAACUGUGUCAGAUGGAAGAUGAAGCAAGUCGAAUAGCCAAUGCGGGUGGAAGCACACCUAUUACUGAAUCUCUCGAUUCAACACCGGAAGUUGAUCAAGUUCCAGUGGUUGUGAAGAGGAAAGCUAUACAACCAAGAUCUACUGCUUGGCCGCAUUAUGAUAAGCUCAUAGAAGAUGGAAUUAAUAAAGCAAAGUGUGGAAGUGUUGCAGGUGUACUUGAAAGUGAUGAUUGACAAAAGGUGAGAAACAUGGUAAUAUUUCUUAAAAGGUUUUAUGAUCUAACUGAGAAGGUUUCAGGUUCACUUUAUGUCACUUCUAAUGGUUACUUUGAAGAUAUAGUUGAGCUUCACAAUCAUUUAAGAGAGUGUAUUGAAGACGGUGAUCCUUCUUUGGCAAAAAUGGGAGAAAAAAUGAUAGAAACGUUUGUCAAGUAUUGGGGUGCUCCGGAAAAAAUUAAUAAGAUGCUUUUUAUUGCCUCUAUCUUAGAUCCUCAUAAAUAAACUUGAGUAUGUUGGCGACGCACUUGAGGAUAUGGUUGGAGAUGAAAAGGGUAGUAAAAUAAAAGAUAAAGUGGUGACUUACAUGAAAUCUAUGUUUGAAGAGUAUGUAGCAAAAUUCUCUAAUGCAUCUCGACGUACAUCUUCUCUCUCUGAUUCAUCGGGUUAGACAUCGGAUUCAUCUAGUUAUAACACUAGCACAAAAUCAGCAAAAGCAAGAAAUAGGAUCCAAAUGAAGAGGAACAAACAAGAUGGUACAGGUUUGGGUGGUAAGUCGGAGUUGGAAAAGUAUCUUAGUGAAGAACUAGAGCCGAAUGAUGAUGAUAAUGAUGAGGAUAAUUUUGAUAGCUUGUCAUGGUGGAAAGCUCAUUCUCCUUGAUAUAAAAUUCUUUCCGAGAUGGCUCGAGAAGUGUUGGGAAUUCCAAAUUCUAGUGUGGCAUCGGAAUGUGCAUUUAGCACCGGGGGCCGUAUUCUUGAUUCAUUUAGGAGUUCUUUGACUCCGAAAUUGGUGCAAGCUGUUAUUUGUCUUCAAGAUUGGCGUCGAAAUGAGCCUUAUCCCGUAAAUGUUGAAGAAGAUUUUAAUGAUCUUAUGAAACUUGAACUUGAACGGAAUCUGCAACCAAGCAUGCUGUUGUGGUGAAAGUCAGGUGAGAGUCAAGUUUAUUGAUGAACAGAACAGGUUUAUCAUGAGAAAUGUCAAGGGACUAGUCAGAAAGGGUGAUGUUCUUACAUUGUUGGAGUCUGAGAGGGAGGCCAGGGGAUUGCGUUGAGCGCAUAAUUAUGAAUGCCACAUUGUAAUGCAUCGAAUACUUGAUACUGGCUGGGAUUUAUUUCCUAUUUAAUAGUCCUCGAUUUUGUUUGCUUAGACUUGUAAGUUUGGGCAUGUCGAUUUUGAGGUGUUAACCAUGAUUCGUGUAAUUUUAGUGCACUUCACGUUUUUGGAAUUGUUUAUGAUUAAUAUUUUGCUAGCUUUGCAUGAAUGGCAGUAACUAAUGGUUCAGCUU